UUGCGACAAGUGGAAGUUCCAGAAUUUCAACUAUUUUUUAACCAAUUAACAUGCUUAGAAUAUAUCACGUGUUGUAGUAAUUCGAUCUGUUGAUAACAAGCGCUAUGUUCGAUCUUUUGGGAGCAAACAUUCAAAGAGUAAAGAAUUUUUAUUCAAAUUUUCUACUUAUAAAGUUCCAAAGACCUAAUGAAAUACAUGGAAUUUGUUUUCAAAGGUAUGUCUCUUGUGUAUUUACUCAUUUGUAUGCGGAUAGUUACUUGAUAUAAUGUAUAGUUAUGUUUUUAAAUCGAAGGCCUGUAUUUGUAUUAAUACUUUUUCACCGAAGGCAUCUAAACGUUCAGUUGUAAAUAAAAUUUUCGAUUAGUUUCUAUUAGCAGAAGUGUAUAAAUCUAAUCUACACUCUACUUAUUUGUGUUUUAAGGAAAUCGUAUAGCUUAUUUGUGUGAUAUAUAUGUAUGUUAUAUUUCCUGUGAAAUAUUUGCCAUUUAUAGUUGACAUGUAUACUUACAAAUCACAUAAAUAUAAUGUGAUUUGUUUGAAGUCACAUUAAUAGCAUAUAGAUAGCAUUGUAAUGGCCCGUCUCCCAAUAUUACCCAAUGUAUGGCAUGUGCUUGCUAUGGUAACCCUCCAUCGGUCACCCUAAAACAUGUGUGAGGGGCUGCUUAUAUGGUCAAUAUGGAGGAAAGCCAGCCCAGGUAACCCGGCUAUAGCUUGCUUUCCCUGGAUGAAUGUCUGUUUACAUGAGCCUCUUUAGAUGGGUAGGCUCACCAAAUUGAAUCACCCAGACUGAGUUAUAUAAUAGAAGCACAUUUUCCAAUAACCAACAUCUUACUUUUGCAGACAGUUUCGAAAUGUAACUGACAAAAACAAUUACUGAGAUAUUUUAAUGCUUUAAGUGGCAAUGCGCCCUACUUUAUUAUUUUACUUUGUUUAACAUCAGACAAUUUUUCUCGUCAGGAGGAGAAUCUGCCCCUCAAUGGGUUAAUCAGACUAUCUGCCUAUAGGAUGCACCCUGUUUACCCUGUAAGUGGCAAUGUGCCCAGAUGUGCCCUACUUUAUUAUUUUAGUCUGUCUUACGCCUGACGAUAUUACUCGUCAGGGGGAGAGUGCUUGAAUCCAGUACAUGCACUACAAAAAAAUUAUCGGACAAUGAAAACAUAAACUUAAAGAUGCCCAGAUUUUUGUGGCAAGGUAACUUGCCCAAUUGGGCAAGCAAGAUAAAACAUUUACUUGCCCGUCAUGAAUUUCACUUGCCCCGGGCAAGUGGGCAAGUGUUAAGUUACACCUCUGCUUGCUUUGUAUACUAGAAAACAACCAAAAAUAGCAAAUUCAUUGUCACUCAAUCAAUAAUUUGCUUCUGUUAUAUAUCAACCUUAUAUAUUUUUUCUUAAUUAAUAGUGGUUGUAUUUAAUAUGGAUUCAUUAUAUCUUGUGAUGCUGAAUGAAACGUUAUCGAAGCAUCGCAGGAGAAGGCAAGUCAUCUAAACAAGUGGCAAUAUAUAUAAUCAUUGAUGGCAUUUGAAGUACUUUAUGGUCUAUUUGGAAAAUGUUAUUCUUUUGCUGGAGAGCAUGUUUAUGGAUUACCAAACCACGCAAGGAAAGGACUAGGAGUUGCCGACUGGUGGUAUAGUACAGCUUGUUUUGUACUAAAAUUUAACUAAUGAACUUGCACGACAUAUAUAUGCUUGAUUGAGUACUGACAAUGCACGCAGUGUAUUUUACUUUAGUCUUGUAAAUAUUCAAGAUUGAACAGAAUGUUUAACCCUUUAAGUGGCAAUGUGCUCUACUUUAUUAUAUUAUUAUUUUGUGUCCAAUGCCAGGUAUGCUGCCACUCAAUGGGUUAAAGUCUUUCUGUAGAUGGAAAUAUUGAACAAUAACUAUGUAAUAGCUGUUGUGCCGGGAAUGGAACCCCUGUGAUUCAGAUCAGCUCCUUAAUUGCAAAGAGUACAUUAAACCCCAAGAGUCAAUGGAGGUCACCGAGAGUUUAUGUAUAUAAUACUGUCAUCCCAGUUUAUUUAUUAUAUAUAAUAAUACUACCACUGACACCACCAUGGUUUAUAUAUGUGCAGCAACUUGUGGUGACCUCUUGGCAAACAGACACUUUAAGGGCCUGUUUACAUGGAGGUAGGGUGACCCUAUCAGGAGGGUUACCCUAGCAAGCGGGUCAGAAAAUAGCGAGCGUUUACAUGAGGUAGGGUGACCCUACUGCUAGGGCUAUGUUGCCGGAUAGGGUAACCCUACCUAUGCGUGGUCGCUAAGCGGUCUGUAUUAGAUAAAUGGCACCGAAACGCAAAGUUUUAGCGGCAAGUUGUGUAAUGCUAUUUAUUGGGCCUUUGCUUGCUGCAUUUCAAUGUUGUGGUCUGUUAUUUCCGAGGUUAUUUCAAUAUCGUGGUCUGUUAUUUCAAUGUUGUGGUCUAUUACUCGCAUUGCGUAAAUAAGCGUAAUGUAUUCCUUGAUAUAGUCAAACACAACAGUUUUUCGACAUGUUCGGCUGACUAAGAGCAUUUAUUUUGUUUUUUUGACGUCGAUGAGGAUGCGCCGGAAUUUUGCUUCCAGUUCGCCGUCUUUGACACUGAAUUUGUUAUCGAAACUACAUCAUUCGCAGCGUUCUCGUCCAAAGUCAAAGCUUCGUUCUAUGCCUCUGCCGCUUCCUUAUUUGUAAAUUGCUUGCCCUUCUUAUUUUGUGGUGUCGUUUAAAAUACUCGCCAGGCUGAUAUGUAUAAUCUAGCGACGCCAUCCUUGUUAGUUGUCUGUCACAGUAGGACGAAUAAACAUGACCCGCUUGCUAGGGUAACCCUACCUGACGCAUUUACAUGGCUUAUGUAAACAAAAAGAUAGCCCUGCUGCUAGGGUCACCCUAUCUGUUUGAUAGGGUAACCCUACCCCUAGGGUAACCCUAGCACGCAUGUAAACGCUUCCUAUAAAGCAUAUUGAAGUAGGGUAACCUGCUUGCUAGGGUAACCCUUCUGCUAGGGUCACCCUACCUCCAUGUAAACAGGCCCUAAGUCAGAGGGCUGCAGUAGAAUUGCAGGGCUGCAGGUUCAGUUCGUGCUGGCAGACUUGCAAUUGCUCUCAGUUAUUUGAAGUUUGUUCGUUCACUGCAACCAGGUAUAUCAAUCGUGUUUUGCUCGCUACUCUGGUUUAAAUAAAUGAUUACAAAGCCCAGUCGAAUUGUAAUCAAGACCCAACGUUUCGACACUCCAGUCUAGUGUCUUCUCUAGGGGUGAUCUAAGGUUGCAAUUGUGGUUUCUUAAAUACCCAAGGGAUGACAUCACCUGCCAAUGAGAUGCAUGUAUUCCUCUGGCAAAUAGGCACCGUUAUCCCUAUUCACAGCGUAAUUACUCAUAUUUAUAUGUCAUGCUUCUAGGCAUAGUCUUUGACCAUUGCGAUUAUUUGUGGCAAUUACUUUAGAGUUUUCCCAUACAAUCUUGUGUUUGGUGUCACACACAUGUUCUGCUAAAGCUGAUUUUCCCUUGUUUAAAGUUGAAACAGUCUUUUGAUGUUCUUUUAGCCAUGUACGAAACUGGUGGUUACACUGACCCAAAUACUCUUUCUCGCAGUCACUGCAUGGUAUAGAAUAUACAGUAUGAGUUUUCUGAUUUGUUUUAACAAGAUCUUUUGGCUUUGCAAAAAUAUGGCUUAAUGUCAAAUAGGGUUUUAAGGCAACCUUAAUAUUACAUGCAUCUCAUUGGCAGGUGACGUCAUCCCUUGGGUAUUUAAGAAGCCACAAUUGCAACUUUAGAUCACCCCUGAUGAAGACACUAGACUGGAGUGUCGAAACGUUGGGUCAUGAUUACAAUUCAACCAGGCUUUGUAAUAAUGUAUUAAACUAGAGUAGCGAGCGAAAUAUGCUCGCAGUUAGUUCUAUGAAACACAUGUUAACUGUACAGUUUCCAUUUGAAAUAUUUAUCUACAAAAACCCAGUAAUCAGUCUGCUAUUAUUGCCUCACUAGAGUAGGCUCUUGAUUGUCUCCUAUAUUUAAUAUUGGCUAUUUGCAACAUCCUGCAAUCCAUCAUAUUAUACACAUGUUCCCAUGAUAUCAUCAGUGAAAAUUUGAACUUAGAACUGCAUUCAAAGAAUGUUAUCGAGCGUACGAAUGUAUCAUUAUAUAUGCUAAAGCAAAUUGUCUUUCCUAUUAUAAUACUGUAUACCUUAUAUAUAGAAGG